rnacentral:rRNA from 1 species
GUGCCAGCCGCCGCGGUAAUACAUAGGGGUCAAGCGUUGUCCGGAUUUAUUGGGCGUAAAGAGCUCGUAGGCGGUUCAACAAGUCGGUCGUAAAAGUCUAGGGCUCAACCCUAAAUGUCGACCGAUACUGUUGUGACUAGGAUACGGUAGAGGUGAAUGGAAUUCCGAGUGUAGCGGUGAAAUGCGUAGAUAUUCGGAGGAACACCAAUUGCGAAGGCAGUUCACUGGACCGGUACUGACGCUGAGGAGCGAAAGCGUGGGGAGCGAACAGGAUUAGAUA